UAGUUAUUUGUUUUACAAGGGGGCAAAGUUGUUGUUUAACCGCUCGUGCUAAUAUUGAUACCCGACGAGUGGUUCGAGAAGUGGAAUCUUGAGCGUUGCGAGGGUUUCAAAGCACGAGGGUUAAACAAAAUUUGCCCUCGAGUGAAACACAAAAUUUUUCACCACACCAACCCGAAGCAAAUAUUAAAUGUAAAAUAUCAAACAAAA